GCUACUGAGGCCGCGGAGCCGGACUGCGGUUGGGGCGGGAAGAGCCGGGGCCGUGGCUGACAUGGAGCAGCCCUGCCGUUGAGGCCCCGCCCUCCCCACCCUGAGGUGGGGGCCCACCAGGAUGAGCAAGCUGCCCAGGGAGCUGACCCGAGACUUGGAGCACAGCCUGCCUGCCGUGGCCUCCCUGGGCUCCUCGCUGUCCCACAGCCAGAGCCUCUCCUCGCACCUCCUUCUGCCGCCUGAGAAGCGAAGGGCCAUCUCUGAUGUCCGCCGCACCUUCUGUCUCUUCGUCACCUUCGACCUGCUCUUCAUCUCCCUGCUCUGGAUCAUCGAACUGAAUACCAACACAGGCAUCCGUAAGAACUUGGAGCAGGAGAUCAUCCAGUACAACUUUAAAACUUCCUUCUUUGACAUCUUCGUCCUGGCCUUAUUCCGCUUCUCUGGACUGCUCCUGGGCUAUGCCGUGCUGCGGCUCCAGCACUGGUCACGACGCUGGUGUCCAGUGCAUUCCUCAUUGUCAAGGUCAUCCUCUCUGAGACUUGAAAGGGUUCCCAAGCAGCUGCUAC
rnacentral:sRNA from 1 species